CACGUCAGAGCGCUUUGCUGACGUGGUAACAAAUCGCGUUCUCAAGGCAGCGUUUUGUUGCCACAUCAGCAUAGCGCGCUAACGUGG
rfam:Gossypium raimondii Chr04_contig_920, whole genome shotgun sequence.